GGUAUGUGUAAAAUUUCAGUAAUUGGACAACGGGAACUUGUGUAGUCUAUGAUAAAAAAAAAACAUUAUUUGAGAAGUAUUAAAGAAUAUUUUGAAAUAAAACCAAUAAAGGUAAAAUACUAUAGAUGUAUAAUAAUAAUAUUUAAGUUUUAUUUAGCAUCAAGUUUAGCAUAUAACACAGCAUCUGAGUAACGCUAUUAUUCCGUAAUCCUAUAUGAUUUAUAUUGUUGAUCAAUAUCUUAAUAUGUUUUUAUUUAUGUUUUUAUCAGUAUCUUUACUUAGAUUUUAUCAAUAUCUUCAUUUAUAAAAUUUCUGUAAAAAUCUUGAAUCUUUCCGUGGUACUGUUUGAUUAAUAUGAUGUGCAGUCACAAAAAUGUCAGAACUUUAAAUGAAAUGCGGCAUGGGUUCCCAUUGUCUAGACACUCUGGAAUUAAGGCACAUAUCAUUUUCCCACCAAGUAUCACAAUUUAGGAGGGGAAGGCAAAUAAAUAUUAGAAAUCGAAAAAGAAAGACCACUCUGCCCUAGUGGUCGGUUGCCUGGUGUAGAUGAACGGUUUGCGCCAGUGUCACGUCGGAGACACAAUAAAUCAUGAAACCGAUAGAUCACCGGAGAUCUUGUCCCGUAAAAUUGAUACUUGGAUUGUAAGAGAAGAGAAAGCUGAGUCGUAACCCAACUAUUAAUUUUCUUUUAUCGAACUUUAUUAUAAUUUUAGCACUUACAAUAACAGAAUAACACUGAACAGGAGAAAGGAGUCGGAGUUCUUGUACAAGAACAGCGACUAGAACAAAAACUCCCCGAGCUGGGUGAAGUCUCGGCUUAUAUACGUUUUGGUUUGAGGAUGUUGAGGGGCUCGAUGUAGGUUAUGAUGUAGAAAAGUGUCCGAAGGUCGGGAGUCGAUGCCUUAUCUGUGAUGUGGACUAAGGUGUGUCAUAGCUUCUGUGUAGGUGGUGAUGUGUCCAAAGGAGUCCGAAGUUCGGGGGUCGAUGUCUUAUCUGUGAUGUAGGUUGAGAUGUGAUUGAUGUUACAAUUUCCUCGCGUCACAGUUCGAACGUUUCACGAAUAAGGCGAAGAAAUUGAACUUUAUAUAUGAUAAUAGAGUUUAUUAUCCAAAUCCAACAGAGUGGCGGUUCAAAGUGUUACAGAAUGAUUGAAAGUAUUACAAGAGACUGAGUCAAAAUAUUUUAACAGACUGAUUCGAGCGCUUAUUGCUUAUUAUUUGGAGGAUUUUUAUACUGUGAUUUUAGUCCCUUUGGAUCUCAGAGGCGCCUAUUCCGUCACUAUUUGGUUAUUGUUUUGAUGGCUGUUGUAUGCAGGAUGUCUAAUCUGUCGUAUUACUAUUUCUAAGCAGUGGUCUUCUUGAGCGUGUGACACCAGCAAACGGAACAAUUUACUGCUGUGUUUACGUCCUCAAUUUUUUUUUGCAACUCACACGAAUGUUUUGCAUUAAUUUAUUGCCGCAUUUUGUGUCCAUUUUCAUGUCGUAUAUUUGCUCAGUUCCAGUUUAGUCAUGGAUGUGGUAACCCAUUAUCAAAAUCAUAAAAAAUGUAUUUGCCUUAUAUCCAUAUUAUAUUAUUUAAUACUGUAUCAAUUUACCAUAAAAAGGAUGUCAAUUUUUUCAAAGGAGAAAGCAUUUACUUACAUAUUUAUUGAUUUAAGAGAAAUUAUUUAAUUAUUUUCGUAUGGCCGUAAAAUCUUUUGAUGAAUUAAGUGCAAAACUUAAUGAAAGUUUGAUGUAGCAUCCAAUAAAAUCGAAACCGUUCCUAUGAAAUGAGUUAUAUGUAUAAAAUAAUGUACUGCUUCACAAGACAUGUUCAGCGUUCCGUUUGCGAUCCAGCAGUACGAAGUUUUAACACUAGGUUUACGGACGUUUCGUAUAUACCUAUCUCUACGAGCACCCGUCAAAUUGAUGGGUAAACGAAAAUACGCAUUUUUCUUUAAAAAAAUAGAUUUAUUCAAAUUAAGUCCGAAAGAAGCAAUAUUAGGCUUCACAUUUAAAUAAAUUAUUAAUAAAUAAAAAGUCUUUUUUUUAAAUUAUCACUAAAAAAAUAACAAUAACAUUAACACUAUGUUUACGGGACCCGCCAAUUUGACGGAAUUCGAACUUCGAAAUGAAAUAUCUCAAGAACCAUAGCAUUAAUUUUAACCAUUUUGCAUUGUAAAUUAAUCAUUUCAUCUGAAGAAUUUAUGCACAAAAUUAUCUUUUCCUAGGCUUUCUAAUUUUUGAAAAUUGUAUGUAGUAUAUCUAUCUCUAUGAACCCCGUCAAAUUGACGGGCUAACUGAUUUCAUAAACAAACUGUUUUUCAAAGACAGUGUGCAAAAGUUUCAGUUAUUGUAGACAUUUCCUGUUAUUGUCUCGCUUAUUGUAAGUAUUUACAAUAGGAUAAUUGAAUUUGGGCACAGUAUUUUCUUUUUUUUUGACCAAUCCCCCUUUUCUAGCAAUCACGAGUAAAUUCAGGAGAUAUAAUAAAAUAUUGAAUAAAAUUGUCAACAUGAAUGAAGAUUGUUCUGAAGAUAUCUCCGUAGAAGAUCAAUAUGAAUGAAGAUCGACCAAAGCAAAGUUGAGAGUGAAAGUUCUGAAUACACUGAAAGUGGAGAGACAGAAGGAUCUUCGGAUAGUGAAGAGGAAAACUUCUUGAAAGUGUGUCGUAACAAGAAAAGGAUGCGUAUUUUUUCUAGUUCUGACUCCGACGAUGAAAGGGCGAACAUUCCAAGCACGUCCCAAAAUGUAAUGGGUGAAACUGAAAUUGCAAUUGAUGGGACACUGUGGAUAAAACUGAAGGCAGGCUGAUCUAGGGGUAGAACGCCCGUUCGUAUGUUAUUCAAGGAUAUCUCAGGGCCUACUGGCUAUGCUAAGAGAAAUAUUAUGCCGGGUUGUAUAACUAGUGCUUUCGAAUUGAUAAUUGACAGACACAUAAUGGAACACAUAAAAGAUUGCACUGAAACCGAGGCGCAUCGAGUUUUGAAAAAAGACGGACAAUCACAGUUGCUAAGUUACGUAGUUUUCUAGGAAUUCUAUAUGCCCGGAGCGCAUAUGAAGCGAGAUCAUUGAAAGCCUCCGAAAGAUCACAAACAGAUAAAUUUGCGCUGAUAUCCGAAAUAUGAAACAGAUUUAUAAGUAAUAGCCAGGCUUGUUACAAGCCAUAUGAAAAUAUCUCAAUAGCCCGAUUUACGCAAUAUAUGCCGAAUAAGCCUCAUAAAUUUGGCAUUAAGUUUUGGUUUGGAGUUACCGUCCAAACAAAAUAUUUUGAAUGGUUUCCCUUAUAUGAAGAAAGAUGAAACUCGAUGCUCAAAGGAGAAAAGGACAAGAUGACUGUUUUCCUCAAAUUUAUAUAAAUCAGAAAACUGCACGCUUACUGUGUAUAAAAGUAAACCUAACGUAAAAGUCCUCCUUCUAAGCACCACACAUACAGGUAUGCAAGUGGAAGACAAUUAUAAACGUGUUCCAGAAAACAUUGCUUUUUAUAACAAAACAAAGUUUGAUGUGGACGUCGUUGACCAGAUGACACGCAAAUAUAGUGUGAAAGCAGGGAGUUUUCGUGGCCCCUUUAAGUUUUUUUUCAAUAUUUUAGAUUUAGCAGCAAUAAACGAGUGGAUAUUAUGUAAAGAGUGCAACAGAUCGAAAAUAUACAGAAAGGAAUUCAUAUUUUGUUUAGCCGAGGAAUUAGCUGGAGAAAACAAGGAGAACAUUUGCCAAAGAUCAGAAACGUCAACGUCAGAAAUGCGAAAAAGUUGCUAAGUGGGUUAUUGCAAAAAAAUAGAGGUAAUAAUUAUUCUAUAUAUUGCAAAAGAUGCGGAAAAUGCACAAACAACAUUCAGUAUAUUUGCAAAAAAUGUGCUCAAUAGAUAUGAUUACCCUGUACCGUUAAUGUUAUUGUUAUUUUUUUUGUGAUAAUUUAAAAAAAAGACUUUAUUUAUUAAUAAUUUAUUUAAAUGUGAAGCCAAAUAUUAUUCCUUUCAAACUUAAUUUGAAUAAAUCGAUUUUUUUAAAGAAAAAUGCCUAUUUUCGUUUACCCGUCAAUUUGACGGGUCCCGUAAACCUAGUGUUAAUGGACAGAGAUUUAUUGCAUAAUUACCACUCAAAGGCGCGUCUAGUGUAUUUCUUCAUAGAGAUUUAUGUUGUUCUUUAACGCAGCAACAAAUUGCCGCGACGGUGACGGUGGCGUAAAUAGAUCGCCAGCAUAGCGCCUUCUUCAAGUAACAACUGUAAUAAUCAAAAUAAAUAAUAAUAUGCCUAACACGGCAGUCAUUCACAAUUUACCAAAAUUCUACAUAUGACAGGAGUACUCCCUUUGUUGGCGUACCAUUCAUGAUAAGCGGUGACUAUAAUCCAAUAGCCCCUAUUGGGGAUACAUAGUCAUUAAUCGGAGACAUAAUUGUCUUCAACAAGCCAUUCAUUACUUAUCUAUAGAUAUUAUAUGAACAACAGAGCUUGCUUGUUGGAGCAAAAUAUAAGAAAAAGAAAUCUGGACUUCUCAACUUCGCUGGUUGUAAAAGUAUUAAAAACUAUUAACAAGCUGUAUCUUCCAAUCAUGAAAAUCGUGCUUAGACUUCUAUCAAAACAAAAUUUAUUCACAAUAUUUCAGUAUAGUAUUUUCAUUCGAAACGAUUAUGGAAUUGUAGAAAGGUUGUCAAAAUAAAAAUGGAUAAUGUUAUCGGCUGAAAUUUAUUAAUAUAUAAGUAUUAAGAAAUUUAAUUUGGAUAUAAGAAAUGAAGGACGAUCAAUUGAAAAUUAUCUACAGGAUGUUGCCUGCAAGAUAGGUGAGGAAAUAAUAAAAUUGCUUAAAAGAUUAAACUUAAGAGAUUGCUACAUGGUAGGAAAUUUUAAGAAUGCAAGACCGAAAAGUGGAUAUAGCUUCUGACAUAUGAAAAUGGAGAAGGAUCAAUGCCAAGAAGUGUGCGGAAGAAUCAAAAGCAAUAAAAAAGAUAUAGAUGAAACGCAUGCAACAUUACAUAAUAUACUGAGAUGUCAAAAUUGUAACAAAGCUGAUGUGAUAGACUGGUUAAAAUUUGAUAAGAAAUAUAAUUAGUGGGACAGAAGCGUAUGCUAGUGAAAUUUUUCAAAAUGUUAUAUUCAAAACAGUCACGGUUUGGUUCAGCAUAAAAACGAACUGAAAAUUUUUCUAAACCUGCCAAAAAAUAGAUAUAAUGCUUAUUUCCGAAACUCAUUUUACGGACAAAAAUUACUUUAAAGUCAACGAUUACAAUAUUUAUCACAUUCAACACUCCUGCGGCAGAGCACAUGGCGGAUCAGGUACAGCCUACCAAAAGAGGAUGUUGAUCAGUUUUUGGAAAUCCUGGGUCACAGGUUUAUAACAGGAGGCGACUUUAAUGCUAAACACACUCACUUGGCUAGUAGUAACAUCACUCCAAAAGGUAGAUCAUUAUACAAAAGUAUUUUGUCGAGUAAAUUAAAUUGCAUUAGUACAGGUGAGCUCACGUACUGGUCUACGGACACAAACAAAUUAUCCGACUUACUGGACUUCUUCAUAACCAAAAAUGUUUCUCCGAGGUAUAUUCAAGUGAAUUCUUCUCUAGAAUUGUCCUCAGAUCACUUACCAGUUAUUGCAAUAGUCAGCUCUAUGAUUAUUGAAAAUCAAUUUGCUAUUUCAAUCUAUAACAAACUAAGUAAUUGGUCUCACUUUAAGGAAUCCUUCAACAUUUCAACAUCAACACUAGUACCAUUAAAAACGAAAGAAAAUAUAAAUGCAGCAGUUGAAUAUCUGACAAACGACGUAAUAAAUGUGGCUCACUUCUCUAUCGCUAAGCUGGAGUAUAUCAGUUCGCUGUGGAGUGCCGAAGCGUGCAGACGUGUCUCUAGUGCCCAGUGUAAUCUGAAAACAACACGUGUCGCCCAACCGUCGAAAGUGAACACAGCCAAGUGUUUCCUACCCUUUACGGAGAAGAAAAUCCCACGCACCUAACCCCAACCCGAAUACUAGCCUCAUAGCCUCACGACUAGUUAUUCACUUUGAAUUAACUAGCUCGAUGAUGGCCCAGCAAUCGCGACCAAGCUCUCCGGAGCAGACUCGCAACUACCCCGCGCUACCUCCCCCGUGGCAGAAGUGUAGCAGAACUCUCCACACCAACGACGCUAAUAUUACAAAGAAACGGAAAAUAGAAACAUCAAAACCAGACACGAUCGACACCCGGAACGAACAAUCAACGAUACAAAUAAACACCCACAACAAGUUCGCCGUACUGCAAUCCACUAACGACGCCAUGGAAAUCGCAGACCCGCCGCCAAACCAACAAUCACAGAGAAUCCCCCCUCCCCCACCUUUGUGGAUGACGUCAUCGACAUACAAACAAUGAUCAAGUCCUUAGAGAGAGAUAUCUCCAAGGACGACUACAACCUGAAGAUCAACAACAACAAAGUAAAAAUUCUGCCGACAACCCCCGACGCAUACAGAAAAAUCACCAAACUGCUUAAGACAUUGAACGCCAACUUUCACACGUACCAACUUAAACAAGAAAGACCUUUCCGAGUGGUCCUACGCAACAUCCACCACUCAGCAGACAUAGACGAACUCAAAUACGAACUCUCAAAACUCGGCCACGAAGUCAUCAACGUAAGUAAUAUAAGGCAUAGAGUCUCGAAAGACCCGUUAUCCUUAUUUUUCAUAGGCAUAAAACAAAAGCCUAACAAUAAGGAAAUCUGCAAUAUCAGUCGCCUAAUGAAAUCAAUAGUAAAAUUCGAACCACCGCUUGUGAAAAAAGAAAUAGUGCAAUGCAAAAGGUGCCAAAGGUACGGUCAUACGCAAAAAUACUGCAACCAUACUUUCCGCUGCGUUAAAUGUGCAGGAACUCACUCCACUGACCAGUGCGCUAAAUCACCGGAAACCCCAGCGAAAUGCAUCCACUGUCAAGGUGACCAUCCUGCCAACUAUAAAGGCUGCUCAGCCUAUAAAACUCUAUACACAAACAGGUACCCUGAACUCAGAGCAAAAGAGGUAACCAACCAAACACCCAGCCCGCCGAAAUUCACGACUACCCCAAUCCCCUCAACCAACCAAACACCCAGUCCUACCAAAUUCAUCACCACCUCAACCUCCUAUGCCCAAGCAGUACAAGGCAUCCAAAAUAACCCGAAUAGCCAAAGGGAUCUUUCCCAAAAUAGUGUCCUCAACCCACCUAACACAGACAACUUCUCUAGGCUUUGAAAGCUAAUAGAGAAACAAUCAGAGCAAAUAAAUAAUUUGCUAUCGCUACUAACACUCAUCAUGGAUAAAUUAAUACGCCCCGACGCAAAAUAAAACCAAGGCGCAUAGCUCUCUGGAACGCCAACGGUCUAGCGCAACACAAACUUGAACUAGAACUCUUCCUAAAACACCAGCAAAUCGACGUAAUGCUCGUAUCGGAAACCCACUUCGCCGACAAAAACUACCUGAAAAUAAA